rnacentral:rRNA from 1 species
UUGGAGGGCAAGUCUGGUGCCAGCAGCCGCGGUAAUUCCAGCUCCAAUAGCGUAUAUUAAAGUUGUUGCAGUUAAAAAGCUCGUAGUUGAAUUUCGGGAUCAAUUUAUUGGUCGUGCUAUUGUACGUACUGGUAUUAUUGAUUUCUACCUUCUGACGAACCAUGAUGUCAUUAAUUUGGUGUCAUGGGGAAUCAGGACUGUUACUUUGAAAAAAUUAGAGUGUUUAAAGCAGGCUCACGCUUGAAUACAUUAGCAUGGAAUAACGAAAUAGGACGUUUGAUUCUAUUUUGUUGGUUUCCAGGAUCGACGUAAUGAUUAAUAGGGAUAGUUGGGGGCAUUAGUAUUCAAUUGUCAGAGGUGAAAUUCUUGGAUUUAUUGAAGACUAACUACCGCGAAAGCAUUUGCCAAGGAUGUUUUCAUUAAUCAAGAACGAAAGUUAGGGGAUCGAAGACGAUCAGAUACCGUCGUAGUCUUAACCAUAAACUAUGCCGACUAGGGAUCGGAUGAUGUUAAUUUUUUAAUGACUCAUUCGGCGCCUUACGGGAAAC